AAACAGCCCCCUAUGUAUUGGAUCUUUGGCAGUUUUGGCCCCCAAGGCCACUUUUGACUUAGUCUUCGCCGACGUGACACCCUUAAUAGUCGACACAUGGCACCUCACUUAAGGGAUGUGGUUGCCACGUCAGUGAAGACUAAGUCAAAAGUGGCCUUGGGGGUCCAAACUGCCAAAGAUCCAAUACAUAGGGGGUUGUUU
rfam:Medicago truncatula strain A17 chromosome 3, whole genome shotgun sequence.